rnacentral:sRNA from 1 species
AGCUAUAAGGAUGAUGUGACCAUGAUGUCUGCCACCCCAUUGGUCACCAGGAUUGGUCUGGCUGAUCUGGCCUGCUAGACAGGUGUCCCCUUUCUUCCUCACCACCCAAUGCGUGUCUCUCCUGAUGCAGUGUGCUCGAAGGAAGAGGACAACCAUCCCAGACAGGGCCUGUUCUUUUGAUCAGGUGUGUCCCACAGCCACACGCCUCCAGGCUGAUUACAGGGGCCUUGGUUUCUG